UCGGUGGCGGAGUGGUCAAUCGCAACAGACUGUAAAUCUGUCGGCUUUAUGCCUACGCAGGUUCGAAUCCUGCCCGGC
rnacentral:tRNA from 1 species